rnacentral:rRNA from 1 species
CUGGAGGUAUCAGAAGUGCGAAUGCUGACAUAAGUAACGAUAAAGCGGGUGAAAAGCCCGCUCGCCGGAAGACCAAGGGUUCCUGUCCAACGUUAAUCGGGGCAGGGUGAGUCGACCCCUAAGGCGAGGCCGAAAGGCGUAGUCGAUGGGAAACAGGUUAAUAUUCCUGUACUUGGUGUUACUGCGAAGGGGGGACGGAGAAGGCUAUGUUGGCCGGGCGACGGUUGUCCCGGUUUAAGCGUGUAGGCUGGUUUUCCAGGCAAAUCCGGAAAAUCAAGGCUGAGGCGUGAUGACGAGGCACUACGGUGCUGAAGCAACAAAUGCCCUGCUUCCAGGAAAAGCCUCUAAGCAUCAGGUAACAUCAAAUCGUACCCCAAACCGACACAGGUGGUCAGGUAGAGAAUACCAAGGCGCUUGAGAGAACUCGGGUGAAGGAACUAGGCAAAAUGGUGCCGUAACUUCGGGAGAAGGCACGCUGAUAUGUAGGUGAAGUCCCUCGCGGAUGGAGCUGAAAUCAGUCGAAGAUACCAGCUGGCUGCAACUGUUUAUUAAAAACACAGCACUGUGCAAACACGAAAGUGGACGUAUACGGUGUGACGCCUGC